rnacentral:rRNA from 1 species
AUUGAACGCUGGCGGCAGGCCUAACACAUGCAAGUCGAGCGGAUGAAGGGAGCUUGCUCCUGGAUUCAGCGGCGGACGGGUGAGUAAUGCCUAGGAAUCUGCCUGGUAGUGGGGGAUAACGUCCGGAAACGGGCGCUAAUACCGCAUACGUCCUGAGGGAGAAAGUGGGGGAUCUUCGGACCUCACGCUAUCAGAUGAGCCUAGGUCGGAUUAACUAGUUGGUGGGGUAAAGGCCUACCAAGGCGACGAUCCGUAACUGGUCUGAGAGGAUGAUCAGUCACACUGGAACUGAGACACGGUCCAGACUCCUACGGGAGGCAGCAGUGGGGAAUAUUGGACAAUGGGCGAAAGCCUGAUCCAGCCAUGCCGCGUGUGUGAAGAAGGUCUUCGGAUUGUAAAGCACUUUAAGUUGGGAGGAAGGGCAGUAAGUUAAGACCUUGCUGUUUUGACGUUACCAACAGAAUAAGCACCGGCUAACUUCGU